UACGCAGGGGGCAAGCGUUGUCCGGAUUUAUUGGGCGUAAAGGGCUCGUAGGCGGCCAACUAAGUCGGACGUGAAAUCCCUCAGCUUAACUGGGGAACUGCGUCCGAUACUGGAUGGCUUGGAUUUGGGAGAGGGAUGCGGAAUUCCUGGUGUAGCGGUGAAAUGCGCAGAUAUCAGGAGGAACACCGGUGGCGAAGGCGGGUCUCUGGGCCGUAACUGACGCUGAGGAGCGAAAGCAUGGGGAGCGAACAGG
rnacentral:rRNA from 1 species